rnacentral:lncRNA from 1 species
GCUAUGCAGUACAAUCGUAACUACUCGGCCAUUCUCGCUAUGCAGUACAAUCUUCGUGCAACCAGAAAAGCUGAGUAGUUCCGAUUGAGCUGUGACGUUGUUUAAGUUAUGACGUCAUAUUCAAUGUAAACAAAAGAAACGCUUCCAUCAGGUAACGUUUUUUUCAAAUCAAACAAUUAUUAAAAAUGAAAUUGUAUUGAGUUCCAAUCUUAUAUUUUACUAGACUGAUACAUAUAAUUUUCUUUUCAAAGUCUCAUGCAAACAAGAC